AGCAGAGCCCCCUUCAUUGUCGCCCCGCCUACUCAAGUGACGACUUCUAUUGGGUGGUGUGCUUGUCAGUCAGGGACGGGCCGCAGCUCCGGCUGACGGGGCGUCUGAGGACUAUGUGUGAAGAGGCAGAAAGUGAGCUGCAUCGUCUCUCUGGCAUUAUUGCUAAUGGCAGUUGUAACAACGCACAGUCCUGGAACUGCAUGCACAUAUACAUUGAUCAUACGAUGUGCCUGUAGGCAUCAUGGAAUGGGAGCAUGCUCCUUCUGCACCUUUUACAAGUAACAGAAGAAAGAGGAUGAACUCACUGUGAAAGACAGCAAGACUCAGCUCCUGCUCGAAGUAUACAGGCAAAUCGGUAUGUGAAACGUGGAUUUUGUAAGUGCUCUCACUCUGCCAGGCAAGUGUCCUACAACGGAAGGAUCAAGCAGUGCAAACUGGUCUCAGUAUCCUGUGUUCUUUUGUGAUGCAGAGAGAUAAGGGACAGAAGCAGAAUCAUCAAACAGUUGCCAUCAGAGAUUUGCUCCGCUCACUAGCAAUCGCUGUAAAGGCUAGCAUGUUUUUAUGUCUGGCUCCAAAUAAUGUCAUUUGCACUUUUAACACAAAGUAGUUCUGUUUUCUAAAGCCAAGCUUUCAAACCACCGAUUAAUACCAGCUCCACACUGAAUGUUGGUGUGUUACAUAUGUAUCUCAUUGCUUAAUUUUGUAAUAUGACAAAGCAGGUAGCCAAUAUGUGCAAAACAAUUGUUUUGAAAAAAAAAUUCAGCUGUGUAUGUAUCAAUAAUUAUUAGUAAUAGAAAAAGAGAGUACCUGUGGUGGCAAGGCACAGUUGUGCCCGAUGCUACAUUUAUGAAUUUUAUCCCACAAGAAAAUCACCAUUUAAAUCUGUCACAUAAGUGUAAAUUCAGUUCUAAUGGAACUUCUAGUCAUUGUGUUCUGGUCUUAUACUUUGAAAUAAAAUGUUUCGUUACUUAACUUUCUCUAAUUUUUUGCAAUAAGCAAUCUAAGAGUUAUCUGUAAGUUUAGCAUUUCUUGCUUUAGACAGUAAAUAGACAAGGUAAUUUCCACUUCAGUAACAGUCUGAUUUCAUUUUCAGGUUAUCUUUUAUAUCAGACAUGAUCUGAAAUUUAAAGUGCCUGCUCUGCAAUAUGGUACUGCAUUAGAAUAGUAAUCUUGAGUUCUUGGUAAUAAUUAUAUAUUUUGUAGUGAUUAUUUUAAAUAUACAGCCAUCUAUUUAUUUAUUACUUGAGAUAAAGUAGUCUGGGUGGAAGUAUCAAUUCAAAUUGUUUAUCAGGAUUCAUCUUCCCAUUAAUUGUCUCACUGUAGGAGGAAAAAAAUAUUUGUAUCAUGCGUUGUUUAAAUGCUGAGUGGUCACAGCAUCAGGUAGCAUUACAUGGAGAUGCGGGGAGAGAGACUUGUUACAACAGCUGUCACAACCCCUCAUGUAAGUUUUACAGUUAUAAGGUGGUAUCUCGUCAGUUGUCUUACAGCGGCCGUUACUGCAUGCAGUUUUAGGAGUGUUUGAACAAGGUAGGUAAUUUCAAAAUUUCACCUUAAGAGAUGAAAAUCAGUUUUACCUGCCCUGUUAACAACAAAAAAACUCCAGAAGGAGAGGUUAUAAUUGUGAACAGUGUGUUGGAAUUUUUAUGGUGUAGCAAGAAAAAAAAAAUCUAAAGUAUCAAAUCUAGUUACAUUUAAAAAAAUAUCUGGGUACUAAUAAAACCCAGGGGAAAGCGCUCUGGGAAUACUGCCUGGCAGUUACAUAUUAGGAGAUUGGCUUUUGAGACUUAAAGAGUAAUUCUAGAGGCUGUCCCGGAUUUGUGAGUCCUAAAUGUGUUUUGGAAACAAGACAGAACACACAGAAUAGAGCAAUAUAAAGAGUUGAGAGAGCUGUUGCUUUGGGGAGUGGUAAAGGAAAUGUGGCUGUGAAAGAGAAAGAGAAGUCACUGGGAAGAAAAAAAUAACCUGUUUCUACAAAGUAUGCCUAAGAAUUCUGUGGGUGAGAAUGACCUGAUUUCAGAUUUUUAAUUUAGAACUCAAUUGGGAAACAAUAGUCCUGGCCAUAUGUUCACAAAUAUCACAGCACUUCUGUCCACGUAUUAAGUUGUAGCAAAAUGAGGGAAAGUAAGAAGCAGGACCACUUCAUUAUAGAUCAGUGUAUGAAGUGAAAUGUUACGAUAAAAAUAUGCCUUUGCUUUCCUGCUAGAAGAAAUUAAUGAAAUGUAGUUUCCCUCCCUCACCCAAUCAUUUUCCUUAAUAAUUUGGGAUACCGACUUAAUGCAGUUCUGUGACUUAAACAGAGAAACAUAUUUUUGUUAAAAAACUUACUAAAAACCAAGAGUUUGAAUUUUAUUGAUGCGCUGUCUUAUUUUGGCAGUGAACAGCCAUGAAUGUAAGCUUGGGUAAGAAAUGCAUAGUAAGGCUUAAAAUAUAUCCGAGCACACAUUUCUAUAAGAAUAAUACAUCAAUGGGCUGAAACCUCAAUUCUGGCUCUUAUUCACAGGCCUCCAGGCAGACUUUUUUUUUUUUUAGAUUAGUGGAGAAUUAGAUCCUACCACUUCCCAAGGAAACCACUUCUGUUUUAUUAAGGAAACUGUGAAGUUUUUUUGACUUUUGAAGAGUUUACCUCUCAUGGAGUUCAAGCAAAAGUGCAAUGCUUGACAAACUGGAUAUGAAUGGGUCUUUUAAAUUACCUUGAGAAGCUGAGGAUAUUUUUAUAGCAUUAGUAGUCGGUAAUUGAUGCAUCCAUCCUAAAUCUCAAUUUUGCUGUGGCAGCAAGUCCUGAAAAUUAGCAUAACAAUCCCAAAGAACAAAUGGGUCCCUAGCUGUAAGUUUCUCAGCUACUGAUUUUUUCAUUCAUUACUGUGAUUAUUUUUUUUCCUAGUGUUUUGCCACAGAUCUUUUGUUCACAUGGUACAAUAUGCAGUUAAAAUUAUCUCAUUUGGUAUUUGUUUUUCAAUAAACAGAAUAUGUUACACAAAUGUGCCAUAUUCUUGGUUGUAUUAUAAAACAAAUAUAAUGUUCUAAAUGACACAAAUAAUUAGAUUUUAAUAUUCAUUAUUGUAUUCUUUUUUUUUUUCUUCACAAUGGCCUAUAUUUUAUCUAUAAGGAUAAUAACGUCAUCUCUUAUGUUCUGUAUUGCAUUACAUUUCCACAGCAGUUAGGAAGCAAUCCUAAAAAUACCCCAUCCUAAGUAUAGCCAGAUACAUUUCUAUUUCGUUUUUUAUAUCACAUAAAUAGAACAGCUAUAAUUUUAUACUAGUAACAGAUCUAAUCUGAGUAAAAACACUUCAGGUAGGCUGGGACAAAUUAAAGCAUAAAAGUGGGAAUGUGUGAAAGAAACAUAUGCUUUCAUUUCAAGAUUUAUGGUAUUUAGCUAUGGCAGUGUUAAAGUCUUGCUGUUUCUUUAUAUGGAAGAAAAUACAAAUAUUCACAUUUCCUUAACACAACGGGCCAGUGGUCAGCUGUAGCUUUAGAAACAAUUGCUUUGGCAGAUGCUGUUGUCCUCUACAGGCAGGAAAAAAUCAGCAUGGAUUUUCUUUCUCAAUGGCAGUCUUACAGUGAGCUGCAUGAUACAGAACCAAAGAAAAACAGAGUUGAAGAGACUCCACAAGGUCAUCUAAUCCAACAGUUUGCCCAAGGAAAGAGUCCGGGGGACACUAAUAUCUGCUGAACUACCUUGCCAGAAAAUUGGAUACAAUGCCCCCAAUAAGGACCUUUUCUUAUACCUACAGACAUCUCCUUUGAUAUAAAGCGUUAUGGGAUGCAAGUGCACCAGGACAGAGCUCACUGUAGGACUUGAGCUUUUGCCCUAAAACUGUAAGACAAUGUGUGUAAUGUUUAUCCCACUUGUUCAGGUUAUGCAGGUUGCUCUUACACAUCCUGCAUCUUGUUUGUUAAUAUUCACCCACCCUCAAGAAUGUGAAUAAUUAUGGUAUGCUUUUAAAAUCUAAGUCUCUUCACAAGUGCUUAGUUAGCCUUUCUUAUAAUAAACAUAAGACAAAAACCUAACUUUAACCCCUACUAUGCUAUUUCCCAGUAUGAAUUCUUUUUCAAGUUAAUUCAGGGCUCAUAGAAGAUGCUGAAUUGACACCACUGUAUCUAUUUACAUGUGGAAUGAGUAAAUUGCAUGUGAAAGCAUCCACCUUUUUUUCCACAUGGCUCUUCGAGCAUGUUUCAGUCCUCAACAGUUAUUAAAAUAAUACUAGCAAUACUAUCUCCCAAUUAACCCCUUUUUAGCUGAAAAGGUUAAUGAUUAGUCGACUUCUUUAUUUAAAACCUACUGCAAUAAAAUUGCUGCAGACUAAUGGUCUUCCGUGUCUCACUAAAUGUAAAGGCCAGAGGAAGACACUUGUGAAAGGUUAACAUGAAAGUUAUGGACUUUUGAAGAAUAAAUUCUGAAUAAAAUCUUCACAAUUAAAAUGUUAAUGCUUCAGUCAUUUUUGUUAGAUUGCUUUGCCCUGCACUAUAGGAUGGGUGAGGCUCAGAAAACAAUAUUCAGUCUAAAAAUUGUUCCAAACGAAAGGGCUCGCAAAAUAGACAUGGCUAGUGUUAUUACUACAGUAGUGGUAAGACAAAAGAUCUUCAUUCGCUAAAAAAAAAGAAAGGAAGUCAAAGGUGUGUUUGUCUAAUUUUUCUAUUGUAAACUUACAAAAGAAUUUGAUAUUAGAUGAGAAAAACACUAAUUUGAGAAACAAGUAAAUUGUUUUCUUCUUAAAAAAUUAAAUCGAAGUCUAUUGACUAUUUGUGGCCCUAAUUUUACAGGAUGGUUCAUCCAUGUCAAGGAGCUAAAAAGAUCCAAAUUAUGGCAUUUCAUUGCUGUGACUGUCCUGAGCUUGAAAGGACUAAUAUUUGUGUCCUUCAGAAGAAGAAAAAUAUUCAACUAUAUAAGUUAUUGUUAAUAAAAAUAAGAAAAUUUAUUCUGCAUCUUCAUUUCAAAGACAUAAAAAUAUAUUGAAUAUGUCAUUUCAAAAGCAUAUGAGACACAGGAAGAAAAAAGAGUAGAUUCUAAGCUAAUUUAAUGUUUAUAUAAUCUUUAUUGCAACUAGUUUUUCCUUACGUACACCAAGCUCUCAACUUUUGUUUUCUUUCAGGGUUUUUUGUUUUGGUUUUGCUUUUUUGUUUUUUUUUUUUAUGAAAGAAACCCAUACACCAUUUUAUACUAAUUACUUUCAUCCAGAUCUGCUGAUACAGCAGGAGUCUUUACUGGAGUAAUUUCUAACCUGAUUUUAAAAAAGCCUUCAACCUCCACCUUAAAAACCACAAAACCCUAAAGGCUCACACACAGCUAGUGAUAUUUGUAACAUGUUUCUUAAUCCACAUGGAGAGAGAAGCAGCCCUGGAAUUUUUAAUCCAUUUCUGAUCCUCCAGAGCUUUAGAACCAACUCACCAAAAAGGGGAUUGGCUCUAAUAUUAGAAAUCUUGAAACAAACAAAAGUUAACAAGGAUUUUAAAAAGUGAAAAAGCAUAUUAUCUCAUAUUACCAAGUCCUUUGUGGUUUUUAAGGUUUUUUAAGGCCUCCAAAAUUGAAGCUCUCGGUAUAGCCCUAGUUGUUUCCUGUGCUACAUGUAAUUUAUCACUUCUUGUGGUGAGGAAAUUCUUAGAAAAUUUUGUUCCCCCUUCAAAUUUUGUUAUAAGGAAAUUCAUUAUAACACACAACAGCAUUCAGAUGUGACAGUAUAGUAAAUUGAGAAAAGAUAAACUCCCUAUAAAAAAUUAAUCUCUUGUCUUUGUUUACAAAUACCUGCAAACCCUGAGUUGGGAACAGCUCUACAGUACCAGAUGUGGUGGCUGAUUCAACUGGGUCUUAUCACCCGGUCCCUGACAGAGGUUCAAGAAGGAGGUUUCCUGCUAUAUGGGCCUUGAGAGCUAUUGAAAGAUAACUGCUUUGCAACACAGUCUGGGAAAUGUAGUUCUACUGCAAGCGAUUCUUUUGGAAUUGAAGUUCUUCUCCAAGCUUUUCAUGUCCUGACAAUAAUUAAUGACAUUACGGUGCUUUGGUAACCUCUUUAAAAUAUAGAAAACAAACCAGCAUGACAGCAGGUGAAAACAACUACCGGUAUAACUGGUAAUAGCUAUGACCCCAUUGUGCCAAAGGUUGUGCAGGAGUCUAACUUCAAACAUAAAUGAAGACCUCUUAUGAUGGGCUCUAACGAGCACAUUUAUAACAGGGACAGGGAGCCACAGAAACCUCAGCCAAAAAUAAGCUUUCUGCAUCUUCUUACUUUUUCAAGAUUGUGUAAGCCUGUGGAGUCCUAUAAUCUGCUUCAGUGAGCAAAGGUAUCCUCCAAGAACAGCUUCUCUGCCUAGCUGUUUUUGAUGGCGAUACUUCAGUGAAGUAGGACUCCUCCACUACCAGCAACUUAGAGUAAAAUUGCAUCACGCCACCACUAAAGAGAUGGACAAAGAACUGCAGUGAUUUUUUGCAAUGGUUGUUUUUUAGGUGACUGGAAGAAGCCAAAGCCCACCAUGUGCUUUCCCUGCACUGCUGUGGGGAGAACUUGGGGAGACAAUCCAGGGUCCCUCAGAUUCAUUAGGGAAUUUCUAGGGCCUCAGCAGUUACCAGUGGAAAAGCCUGAGCAUGGGAGAAGUCCAAUUUUUGUGUCCUCGCUGCAAUUCAGGCACCACAGUCUGUUCUGCAAGGGAGAUGCUACACAGCCUCCUCAGUCCAGAGUCAAAAGGUUCAUGAGGGAAGAUGCCAAAUCUGAAUGAAUGGAAAAACCUUAUGCUAAAAACAUCGUGAUGCCCUCAUUGUACAAAAUAACCUACUGGGUUUAACACUUACUCAGAAACGGUUUUACACUGGGGCCUAAUACCUUGACUUAAGAGCAUGGAGUCCUGGAGUCUUGACUUACCCUCAAGAUUAUUUCUUUUUUAAAUCCAUUGACUGCAGAAUGCAAAACAUGGUAGCCUGUAGGUACAUUCAGAGCAUUCCCCUGUGUUGAAAAGGAGGAAGGAUUCAUAUGGCAGGAGGACAAAGGAUGUGGAAGAGUGAACUGCUAACCGACUAGAGCAGCUUCCUGGGAGGGGAGAAUCUUCCCAAAGCAUACAAGCUAGUUCUCAACAGUUUCUGGGUAAAUAUUGCAACUACUGGGCUGCUAUAAUGAUAGAUCCUGCUGCAGCUGGGUUUCUAUAAAGAAAGAAGCUACAAGUGCAUUUUGGCAUAUUUGUCCUGCAGGAAUUUAAACUUUCCUAUACCAUUUGCUCUGCCCAAACUAAUAAUGUAUUGGUUUUUGGUUUUUUGUUUUUAUUUUGGGGGGAGAGUUAAAAUGUUGGGGCUGAGAUAAGCAUCUGUAUUGAUAAAAACCACAUAAAUAAACAGGAAAAGCAUUUACAGACAA